rnacentral:rRNA from 1 species
AUUGAACGCUGGCGGCAGGCCUAACACAUGCAAGUCGAGCGGUAGCACAGAGAGCUUGCUCUCGGGUGACGAGCGGCGGACAGGUGAGUAAUGUCUGGGAAACUGCCUGAUGGAGGGGGAUAACUACUGGAAACGGUAGCUAAUACCGCAUAACGUCGCAAGACCAAAGUGGGGGACCUUCGGGCCUCAUGCCAUCAGAUGUGCCCAGAUGGGAUUAGCUAGUAGGUGGGGUAACGGCUCACCUAGGCGACGAUCCCUAGCUGGUCUGAGAGGAUGACCAGCCACACUGGAACUGAGACACGGUCCAGACUCCUACGGGAGGCAGCAGUGGGGAAUAUUGCACAAUGGGCGCAAGCCUGAUGCAGCCAGGCCGCGUGUGUGAAGAAGGCCUUCGGGUUGUAAAGCACUUUCAGCGGGGAGGAAGGCGGUGAGGUUAAUAACCUCACCGAUUGACGUUACCCGCAGAAGAAGCACCGGCUAACUCCGUGCCAGCAGCCGCCGUAAAAC